rnacentral:rRNA from 1 species
GACGAACGCUGGCGGUGUGCUUAACACAUGCAAGUCGAACGCAUCCUUCGGGGUGAGUGGCAGACGGGUGAGUAACGCGUGGGAACGUGCCCUUCAGUUCGGGAUAACCCAGGGAAACUUGGGCUAAUACCGGAUACGUGCGAGAGCAGAAAGAUUUAUCGCUGAAGGAUCGGCCCGCGUCUGAUUGGCUAGGUGGUGGGGUAAGGGCCCACCAAGGCGACGAUCAGUAGCUGGUCUGAGAGGAUGAGCAGCCACAUUGGGACUGAGACACGGCCCAAACUCCUACGGGAGGCAGCAGUGGGGAAUAUUGGACAAUGGGCGCAAGCCUGAUCCAGCCAUGCCGCGUAAGUGAUGAAGGCCUUAGGGUUGUAAAGCUCUUUCGUCCGGGACGAUAAUGACGGUACCGGAAGAAGAAGCCCCGGCUAACUUCGUGCCAGCAGCCGCCGUAA